UACGGGGAGACCUAAAUCGUGACUCAAUUUGCCCUUUUAUAGAGGGAAUACAAGCGUGCUAAGGCUUAGAAAAAGCCACACUCGUCUAUAUCCCAUAUUUAAGGGGACUCUCAAGCAAAUGAACCCUAUAACUAGCAUGAAAUGCAAAAAUCCUAAAAUGGAGGGAAAGGGGGUUCGAGGGGCAUGCAAAAUGAUAAAACUAAAAAGAAUGCAUGACAUGUAAUGAACAUGCAAACAUGUACUAACGAGGGGAAAUCCCUAAGGGUCUAGCGUUGGACUAGCCCAUUCUAUGAAUUCCGACUAGCGUUGGACUAGUGGAAACGUA
rnacentral:lncRNA from 1 species